AGUAACGCGUGAGGAACCUGCCUUCCAGAGGGGGACAACAGUUGGAAACGACUGCUAAUACCGCAUGACACAUGACCGUGGCAUCACGGACAUGUCAAAGAUUUAUCGCUGGAAGAUGGCCUCGCGUCUAAUUAGCUGGUAGGCGGGGUAACGGCCCACCUAGGCGACGAUCAGUAGCCGGACUGAGAGGUUGGCCGGCCACAUUGGGACUGAGACACGGCCCAGACUCCUACGGGAGGCAGCAG
rnacentral:rRNA from 1 species